UGGGGAAUAUUGGACAAUGGGCGCAAGCCUGAUCCAGCAAUGCCGCGUGAGUGAUGAAGGCCUUAGGGUUGUAAAGCUCUUUCGCACGCGACGAUGAUGACGGUAGCGUGAGAAGAAGCCCCGGCUAACUUCGUGCCAGCAGCCGCGGUAAUACGAAGGGGGCUAGCGUUGUUCGGAAUUACUGGGCGUAAAGGGCGCGUAGGCGGCCUGUUUAGUCAGAAGUGAAAGCCCCGGGCUCAACCUGGGAAUAGCUUUUGAUACUGGCAGGCUUGAGUUCCGGAGAGGAUGGUGGAAUUCCCAGUGUAGAGGUGAAAUUCGUAGAUAUUGGGAAGAACACCGGUGGCGAAGGCGGCCAUCUGGACGGACACUGACGCUGAGGCGCGAAAGCGUGGGGAGCAAAC
rnacentral:rRNA from 1 species